rnacentral:rRNA from 1 species
GGGACACGUGGUAUCCUGUCUGAAUAUGGGGGGACCAUCCUCCAAGGCUAAAUACUCCUGACUGACCGAUAGUGAACCAGUACCGUGAGGGAAAGGCGAAAAGAACCCCGGCGAGGGGAGUGAAAAAGAACCUGAAACCGUGUACGUACAAGCAGUGGGAGCACGCUUAGGCGUGUGACUGCGUACCUUUUGUAUAAUGGGUCAGCGACUUAUAUUCUGUAGCAAGGUUAACCGAAUAGGGGAGCCGAAGGGAAACCGAGUCUUAACUGGGCGUUAAGUUGCAGGGUAUAGACCCGAAACCCGGUGAUCUAGCCAUGGGCAGGUUGAAGGUUGGGUAACACUAACUGGAGGACCGAACCGACUAAUGUUGAAAAAUUAGCGGAUGACUUGUGGCUGGGGGUGAAAGGCCAAUCAAACCGGGAGAUAGCUGGUUCUCCCCGAAAGCUAUUUAGGUAGCGCCUCGUGAAUUCAUCUCCGGGGGUAGAGCACUGUUUCGGCAAGGGGGUCAUCCCGACUUACCAACCCGAUGCAAACUGCGAAUACCGGAGAAUGUUAUCACGGGAGACACACGGCGGGUGCUAACGUCCGUCGUGAAGAGGGAAACAACCCAGACCGCCAGCUAAGGUCCCAAAGUCAUGGUUAAGUGGGAAACGAUGUGGGAAGGCCCAGACAGCCAGGAUGUUGGCUUAGAAGCAGCCAUCAUUUAAAGAAAGCGUAAUAGCUCACUGGUCGAGUCGGCCUGCGCGGAAGAUGUAACGGGGCUAAACCAUGCACCGAAGCUGCGGCAGCGACGCUUAUGCGUUGUUGGGUAGGGGAGCGUUCUGUAAGCCUGCGAAGGUGUGCUGUGAGGCAUGCUGGAGGUAUCAGAAGUGCGAAUGCUGACAUAAGUAACGAUAAAGCGGGUGAAAAGCCCGCUCGCCGGAAGACCAAGGGUUCCUGUCCAACGUUAAUCGGGGCAGGGUGAGUCGACCCCUAAGGCGAGGCCGAAAGGCGUAGUCGAUGGGAAACAGGUUAAUAUUCCUGUACUUGGUGUUACUGCGAAGGGGGGACGGAGAAGGCUAUGUUGGCCGGGCGACGGUUGUCCCGGUUUAAGCGUGUAGGCUGGUUUUCCAGGCAAAUCCGGAAAAUCAAGGCUGAGGCGUGAUGACGAGGCACUACGGUGCUGAAGCAACAAAUGCCCUGCUUCCAGGAAAAGCCUCUAAGCAUCAGGUAACAUCAAAUCGUACCCCAAACCGACACAGGUGGUCAGGUAGAGAAUACCAAGGCGCUUGAGAGAACUCGGGUGAAGGAACUAGGCAAAAUGGUGCCGUAACUUCGGGAGAAGGCACGCUGAUAUGUAGGUGAAGUGAUUUACUCAUGGAGCUGAAAUCAGUCGAAGAUACCAGCUGGCUGCAACUGUUUAUUAAAAACACAGCACUGUGCAAACACGAAAGUGGACGUAUACGGUGUGACGCCUGCCCGGUGCCGGAAGGUUAAUUGAUGGGGUUAGCGCAAGCGAAGCUCUUGAUCGAAGCCCCGGUAAACGGCGGCCGUAACUAUAACGGUCCUAAGGUAGCGAAAUUCCUUGUCGGGUAAGUUCCGACCUGCACGAAUGGCGUAAUGAUGGCCAGGCUGUCUCCACCCGAGACUCAGUGAAAUUGAACUCGCUGUGAAGAUGCAGUGUACCCGCGGCAAGACGGAAAGACCCCGUGAACCUUUACUAUAGCUUGACACUGAACAUUGAGCCUUGAUGUGUAGGAUAGGUGGGAGGCUUUGAAGUGUGGACGCCAGUCUGCAUGGAGCCGACCUUGAAAUACCACCCUUUAAUGUUUGAUGUUCUAACGUGGACCCGUAAUCCGGGUUGCGGACAGUGUCUGGUGGGUAGUUUGACUGGGGCGGUCUCCUCCUAAAGAGUAACGGAGGAGCACGAAGGUUGGCUAAUCCUGGUCGGACAUCAGGAGGUUAGUGCAAUGGCAUAAGCCAGCUUGACUGCGAGCGUGACGGCGCGAGCAGGUGCGAAAGCAGGUCAUAGUGAUCCGGUGGUUCUGAAUGGAAGGGCCAUCGCUCAACGGAUAAAAGGUACUCCGGGGAUAACAGGCUGAUACCGCCCAAGAGUUCAUAUCGACGGCGGUGUUUGGCACCUCGAUGUCGGCUCAUCACAUCCUGGGGCUGAAGUAGGUCCCAAGGGUAUGGCUGUUCGCCAUUUAAAGUGGUACGCGAGCUGGGUUUAGAACGUCGUGAGACAGUUCGGUCCCUAUCUGCCGUGGGCGCUGGAGAACUGAGGGGGGCUGCUCCUAGUACGAGAGGACCGGAGUGGACGCAUCACUGGUGUUCGGGUUGUCAUGCCAAUGGCACUGCCCGGUAGCUAAAUGCGGAAGAGAUAAGUGCUGAAAGCAUCUAAGCACGAAACUUGCC